rnacentral:lncRNA from 1 species
CCGUUGUCCGACACGAUGGUGCCAAAGCUCUCAGCACUCUUGGUCCAGGCGUUAGGAUCCCAUUGGAACUUCAUGUCACCCUGGGGCUUCACCGGGUCUACGAUCAUCUUGAGGGCGCGCUGGAGCUGAAAGUGGAUCAGUUUCUUGGAGAGGAGCAGCGCAGUGCUGUUUUCGCUCUCCAGGGCCCAGGAGGUGAAACGCAUGACGUGCUCCUGGUGCCUCUGCAGCUUGGUCAUGGCCCAGUGCUGCCGUUCCAGCUUCUCCUGCUGCCCCUCCG